GACGAACGCUGGCGGCGUGCCUAAUACAUGCAAGUAGAACGCUGAAGCUUGGUGCUUGCACCGAGCGGAUGAGUUGCGAACGGGUGAGUAACGCGUAGGUAACCUGCCUGGUAGCGGGGGAUAACUAUUGGAAACGAUAGCUAAUACCGCAUAAGAGUAGAUGUUGCAUGACAUUUGCUUAAAAGGUGCAAUUGCAUCACUACCAGAUGGACCUGCGUUGUAUUAGCUAGUUGGUGAGGUAACGGCUCACCAAGGCAACGAUACAUAGCCGACCUGAGAGGGUGAUCGGCCACACUGGGACUGAGACACGGCCCAGACUCCUACGGGAGGCAGCAGUAGGGAAUCUUCGGCAAUGGACGGAAGUCUGACCGAGCAACGCCGCGUGAGUGAAGAAGGUUUUCGGAUCGUAAAGCUCUGUUGUAAGAGAAGAACGAGUGUGAGAGUGGAAAGUUCACACUGUGACGGUAGCUUACCAGAAAGAGACGGCUAACUACGUG
rnacentral:rRNA from 1 species